GACGGAAGGUGCAAGCGUUGCUCGGAAUCACUGGGCGUAAAGGGUGCGUAGGCGGCUUGGUGGGUCUGGUGUGAAAGCCCCGGGCUCAGCCCGGGAAGGGCGCUAGAAACUGCCGAGCUCGAGUGCCGGAGGGGAGAGCGGAAUUCCAGGUGUAGCGGUGAAAUGCGUAGAUAUCGGAAGGAACAUCAGUGGCGAAAGCGGCUUCCUGGACCAGUACCGACGUUCAGGCACGAAAGCGUGGGGAGCAAACAGG
rnacentral:rRNA from 1 species